rnacentral:rRNA from 1 species
CGGGGUGCAGCAGUGAGGAAUUUUCCGCAAUGGGCGAAAGCCUGACGGAGCAAUAUCGCGUGAAGGAAGAAGGCCUGUGGGUUGUAAACUUCUUUUUUUAGGGAGGAAAUUUGACGUGUACCUAAAGAAUAAGCAUCGGCUAACUCUGUGCCAGCAGCCGCGGUAAUACAGAGGAUGCAAGUGUUAUCCGGAAUUACUGGGCGUAAAGCGUCUGUAGGUUGUUUAACAAGUCAAAUAUUAAAUCUUAAAGCUUAACUUUAAAAUCGUAUUUGAAACUAUUAAACUUGAAUAUCUUAAAGGUAGAGGGAAUUUCCAAUGGAGUGGUGAAAUGCGUAGAUAUUGGAAGGAACAUCAAUGGCGAAAGCACUUUACUAGGUGAUAAUUGACACUCAGAGACGAAAGCUAAGGGAGCAAAUGGGAUUAGAUACCCCCGU